rnacentral:tRNA from 1 species
GCCCGGUUAGCUCAGUCGGUAGAGCAUCAGACUUUUAAUCUGAGGGUCAAGGGUUCAAGUUCCUUAUUGGGCG